CUGCUCCAUUUCCAGGGGCUGGUUUAAAGGCUACAACGUGGGUGGACCAUUUGACAAGACGAAUACCAUAGGAGUUGGGCAUCCGCCAUUGUCUCCUACAGAAAGCCUUGCAGUUACGUGGCCAUGUUACCAACUGCGACAUGUCUGAAUCUCAUUCACCUUAUUUGUUACCAAUAUUUUUGCCACCGCUGUUUCUUUAUAAGAUUUAAAUUCGUGCUGGAUGUUGAGCAUGAUGGAAUUACGUUUUGUUCUUGUAUUCUCCCCCCCCCCCCAUGUGUUUCCUAGUAAACAAUAGCCUAUUUCUCAAAACAAAACCAGAGUCAUAGCAUGGUGUAAAAGGGGGGGAGAAUUAUAUUAUAUUUUUCCCUUUUACACCAUGGUCAUAGUCCAUUUCCAUGAGCCCAUGAUUUUCCUUGCCUUAACGGUGCAAGUUGGCAACGUUGCUAACGGGGCGUAUUCUAGAGCUCGAAGUCGAAAAAGGAGAUGUGUUGGAUUAUUGUGGCUCUUGUAUGUUUAUAAGGUUUUAGAUGACUUUGAUUUGGAAUUAAAUGUGUGGAUUGGUACAGAAUGUGAUUCACAAUGUGUACAACUUACCUUCAUAAUGAUUACUUAAAAUGAUAUCAUUUAGAAGUGGUUGGUUUUUGGAUGCUAGUUGGAUCGUGAGCGAGAAAAAGCCACGACCCGAUCGCCAUUUAAAAUUGAAACAUACGUGGGUGGCUUUGAUACGGUCUGGCUGUUGCAUCAUGGCAGACUUAUUGUUCUGUCCAAAGGAUUCGUUGCUGGAAGAAAAAGGCGCUCAGAUCAAAAACACAGAACAAAACCAUCUUGUUAGCACUUGUAGUGGAAAGCAAAGAAUUCCCGCGUGAAAUUCUGAUCAUUUAAAUGCUAUUUUGUGUUCUAUGAAUAAUCUGUGUUCUUUGGAAAUACAGAUACUCUUACAUGAUUAUAUUUUCCAAUCGAAAUGAUUGGACAGCGAUUCCAUCCGGCCAUCACAUCGCAUGUCGUCGAUUGAAGAAAGAAGGUGUGGUACCAACCAAAAAAUUUGAGAGUCGCCACAAAGAGGGAUUGAACCAAGACGUCUCGUUUGAACGGACGUCCUGGAGGCAUGUCCCUGUUUGCGUGCUCGCAUCAUCUGGAUCCGUGCCAUAACCCACAGCCACUUCAGAGAAAUCCAUUGGACGUUAUCCAUGUCGCUGAACAGCCAGUGGCAAACACUAGGGAUCAUCUUGCAACGCUACUAUAUGAAACAGGUUUUUAGUGGUUCAUUCCUGAAUAGUAUGUUUAGUACUACGGAAAAACUAAAAAAGGAUUGUAGGAGAGGUGACAGGACAGCGGUCGAUUGUAGAGGUUUCUUUUACUUCUGCUAUAGCAGUAUUAACAUUUUCUAAACUCACAAUUAGUGGGAACCUGCCGCCCGACGAUGAAUCGUCCAAGUCCUAGCUGGUAAUUCUUUUCUGGAUUCGACAGAGAAAACCUGUAAUCCCCUGGAUGCGGCUGGAAAAUUGUUGUCAUUCCGUGGUAUUGAAGGCGGGAGUGCAAAAUCCAUAAACUAAUCGCCUAUUGUAAACAAAACGUCUGUCGAUGGAAAAGAGAAGAAACAAAAACACAGUUUGUUCUUCGUAUUUUGUAAUUGUUAACCCAAUGUUUGUGUUUUUCCUUCGUGAAUUUGUUCGGUAUCGUAUUAAAGGCAGUUGAACAGGCUUCAAACAAUUGAUAGGAGAUGCAGAUAUACAAUCUACACCCGUUUAUUUCUAUGUCCAAAAACAACGUCAACUGUCUACUGAUACCGAGAAAAUCCCUUUUGAAAGUGUAAAAGUCAACCAGAUGGUGCGAUGAACGAAACAGCGGGAAUAUUCACGACGUCCGUCAAUGGGACCUGUUUCUUUUCGUUCACGGGAACUGUCAACUUUGUAUCGACUUCCGUUAGUUGAAAAACUUACAAUGUUCAGUUGAUAUUGAAUGACGUGGACGUCGGUUAUGCGUUAAUUGACGAAAGUAACACUGCAGAUUCCCACAACGAUUCCUUGCACUUGGAAGCGAUGCUCGUUUUGACAAGGGGCGAUUAAAUCUGGCCCAAGUCUAUUCAGCCACCCGGCAUCUCACUGGAGGGUUACGGUUAUAGGCCUAUUCAUUUUACGAGCAUGGUGAUGUCAGAGAAAAUUUUCUCCGCUGCUUAAUUGUUGAUUGUUGUGAAAGUCAUUCUGUAAUGGGAGAAAAUCAAAUAAAAUGUCUCACCAGUCCGUUUGUUGCGCUUCCACAUUUCGUUCUCUUUAGGAAACGGUCUUCCGGUUAGGGACCAUGUCUUUCAUCUCAACGAUAUACUGAAAACUAUGGUGGUCCGAGACUUUGAUGAUGAUUUGAUUAUAAAUUAAUGCAAUCGAUCGAACUCAGACACGAUUGAUCGGGUGUAGUUGAUUACACCGAAUAUGAAUACAAGAAAUCGGUGCGUAUAACCCGAUUAAAAACCCCGAUAGUACCCCUCUCUACCACGCUUACCUUGAUUUUUACCUCGAUUCCUCACCUGAAACUUGGUUAUUCUUCACUGUCCCAUGUGGCGAAUUCAUUUUUUUCGAUUGAGGUACAAGGUUAAUUAACAAGCUAACAUUUUUCUUUUUAUGACGCUACCUGGGAAAAUUCUAAACUUUUUAAAUAGGAGAGUUCAACAUCGUCGUAGGCUCCUAGUUGCCAUAUCCUAUCUUUUCAGAGGCAACAAUAUGGCAACUAUGGCAACCGGUUUUACCAACAUUUAUUUUUUCUUUUUCCAAAAAAAAAAAAAAAUCUCUACUCUUUCGCCAUCUAGCGGUCGAUCUUGAACUCGGUUUCCCAAGUGAUUUAUUCCCUUUGUGUGACAUUGCACUAUUGCAGUUGCAGUCGAAGUCCUCGCGUUGCUGAGUCCCUCAAACAGCCUGCUGAUUUCUGAGCACAACAUCAAUCUUAAGUGAUUUCGUCGGCCGAAAGCGUCAGACGUUGAAUUCUGAGCACAGCAUCACCAUGGCUCAAAAUUAUUUGGUCGGCCGAAAGCGUCAGACAUUGAAUUCACCAUCUGAUAAGGGUAUGAAGGUGAAUUCCAUCAGUGCUGUACUUAAACAUUCUCUGUCAGUAGUUCCAUGUCCAGACAGGACAGAACAUCUAUGGGAUAGAAUCAUAUGCUACGUUGGACUUGGUUAUUCAGUGAGAAGAAUAACGUGAGCUGUACUUAAACAUUCUCUGUCAGUAGUUCCAUGUCCAGACGGGACAGAACAUCUAUGGGAUAGAAUCAUAUGCUACGUUGGACUUGGUUAUUCAGUGAGAAGAAUAACAUGAGAAGAAUAACAACACACAACAUUUCUCAUUAGACUUGCAGUUAGGGAUGACGACUUCAAAGACAAAACAUCUGGAACAGGUUGGAAAGAAUUGCUUCUCGUUCCUUCCAACAACCGGCUUUUCGUAACAACUGUUUCUAUCUCUCGUUUCACCAUGUUGAAUUCAACUUGACCGACAUCAGCAGUACUGCAGGAGCGACGCUUUCACUUUCAGAGCCUCAGGAACGCGAGGACUUCGACUGCAGUAUCACACAAAGAGACAGUGUUGCCACGAAAAAAAUCAUGAUCGGGAUCGUUUACUGUUAUAUUAAAGUCUGUUGGAGACAAUGUUGUCAUAACAUGCUGCAAAACUCUCCCUGUAACAAUUUCCCCUCCACUUUCUUUAAUGUAACUUUGCAAUUCUUCUACACAAAGAGAAAUACAGAUGGGAAAUAACAAA